rnacentral:rRNA from 1 species
AUGAUGAGGUCGUACUAUGAGAAAUACGAGGAAGCCAGAAGAACCACCGAGCACUCGGUAUCUCAGCAAGUCAGCGCCAAUAUAGGAUCACCAGUUCUUGGCAAAAGGAGACUGGAAGAAGAGUUUGCUCAAUACAAGUCAAGAAGGAGGUCCUACAUGCAACCAAAGUCUGAGCUGUACAUGUAUUUGGAGGAAAAUUUUGACAGCUCCGGGGGAAGUUUUGAUAUUUUGAUAUGGUGGAAAACACAUGCUGAAAAAUAUCCCGUGCUCUCAACCAUGGCUCGUGAUUUCCUUGCAAUACCUCUUAGCACCGUGUGUCAUCUGAAUCAGCAUUCAGUUGCAGUGGAAGGACUUUAG